UACGUAGGGGGCAAGCGUUGUCCGGAAUCAUUGGGCGUAAAGCGUGCGCAGGCGGUUGUGUAAGACAGAUGUGAAAUCCCCGGGCUCAACCUGGGAACUGCAUUUGUGACUGCACGGCUGGAGUGCGGCAGAGGGGGAUGGAAUUCCGCGUGUAGCAGUGAAAUGCGUAGAUAUGCGGAGGAACACCGAUGGCGAAGGCAAUCCCCUGGGCCUGCACUGACGCUCAUGCACGAAAGCGUGGGGAGCAAACAGG
rnacentral:rRNA from 1 species